CCUGUGGCCCCUGCUCCUGGGGGCCGGCAUUAAGGGGGCAAAGGAUCAUUUGGGGGUGUCCUGCCACCACAGGUGGGUACCCUGCCACUCCAGGGGGGUACCCUGCCAUUCCUCCUCGGACCCAGUGGAGGUGUGGGAGCCUGGGCCCGAGGCAUCACCAGGCCCGCGUGUCUGGGGGCUCCAGACAUGCGGCCUGCAACUUUUCCU